UGUAACAUCACUGUCAUACAUAAUGGAUAAUGAUGGUGCUUCAUUUGUGCUGAGAUAUAUUAGAGUAGUUAGGACACAAAAUGUGUGAUACUCUGGGAAUGAGAGAAUCAUGUUUUCUGAGUUAUAAAACACUUCCAUUUAUUUAAAAUAUAAAGAGAAUUUGGUAAUAGCACGCUAAGAAAGUUAACCUUUAUGUUCUGCCUCAUUUUAAAAACAAAAAAUUAUUAUAUUUCAAUGUCAAAUGAAUUUACUAUCAUUAUAAAGUAAAAAUUGUUAUUACAUUCCUAUUCUCAUACACUAGGAGACGGGGAAGAUGGAGAGAAGCUG
rnacentral:lncRNA from 1 species